rnacentral:rRNA from 1 species
GACGUAGGUGGCGAACGUUAUCCGGAAUUAUUGGGCGUAAAGGAUGCGUAGAUGGUGUAGUAAGUUAUCGGUGGCAAAUCGAGGCUCAACCUCGUGGAAGUCGGUAAUACUGCUAUGCUAGAGGAUAGGAGAGGUUAACGGAACUCCCUGUGGAGCGGUGAAAUGCGUAGAUAUCACUUGGAACGCCAAAGGUGAAGACAGUCUGCUGGGGAUCUGCUGACGCUGAGACACGAAAGCCAGGGGAGCGAACGGG